UCUCCUAUCUCUGUUUCUCUUUCUCUUUUUCUCUCUCAUGCACGUAUAUAUAUGUAUGUAGUUACUGUUUCUCUGCAAUCCCUAUACGCAUAAUACCUAUCGUGGACACGAACCGAUUCAGCCGUAAUAAAAUAAUCCCAGAGCGAGGCGUCUGUUGACUUUUCGCGAGGAUACUGGUGUAUAUCCGAACUGGAGAUUAUAGGAGACGCUGUUAAAAUAAUUAAGUAACCGCGGCAACACGCGCGUGCGCUCAGCCAAUUGUUUGAGCGGAGAAGCUUUGAUAGAGGCCAGGACACAACGAAAAAAGGCUAGAGUGGAAGAAAAUGAGUAUUUUGAAGAAGCAGAAGGCAUACUGUAUGGUGCAGGCAUCGCAGAAUAAGAUCACCCAUUCUCAAAUUUCGAUGCCAGCCAACAGAUACCUACUUUUGACGGGUUCACGUUUGUCAGCCAUUUUGGAUGUCAAAAAACGUUAAAAACAAUAAAAAAAAUU